rnacentral:rRNA from 1 species
UACGAACUGCGCGAACGUUAUUCGGAAUCACUGGGCUUACAGGGUGCGUAGGUGGCAUUGAAAGUAGGGUGUGAAAUGCCUUGGCUCAACCAAGGCACAGCGCUCUAAACUACUGUGCUUGAGGAAGCUAGAGGUGAGCAGAACUGAUGGUGGAGCGGUGAAAUGCGUUGAUAUCAUCAGGAAUACCGGAGGCGAAGGCGGCUCACUGGGGCUUUUCUGACGCUGAGGAACGAAAGCCAGGGGAGCAAACGGG